GGGCUUGUAGCUCAGGUGGUUAGAGCACACGCCUGAUAAGCGUGAGGUCGGUGGUUCGAGUCCACCCAAGCCCACCA
rnacentral:tRNA from 1 species